UACGUAGGGACCAAGCGUUGUUCGGAUUUACUGGGCGUAAAGGGCGCGUAGGCGGCGUGGUAAGUCAGCUGUGAAAUCUCCGAGCUUAACUCGGAACGGUCAGCUGAUACUGCUGUGCUAGAGUACAGAAAGGGCAAUCGGAAUUCUUGGUGUAGCGGUGAAAUGCGUAGAUAUCAAGAGGAACACCUGAGGCGAAGGCGGGUUGCUAGGCUGAUACUGACGCUGAUAGCGCGAAAGCUAGGGUAGCAAACGGG
rnacentral:rRNA from 1 species